GGGUUGUGAGGUUAAGCGACUAAGCGUACACGGUGGAUGCCCUGGCAGUCAGAGGCGAUGAAGGACGUGCUAAUCUGCGAUAAGCGUCGGUAAGGUGAUAUGAACCGUUAUAACCGGCGAUUUCCGAAUGGGGAAACCCAGUGUGAUUCGUCACACUAUCAUUAACUGAAUCCAUAGGUUAAUGAGGCGAACCGGGGGAACUGAAACAUCUAAGUACCCCGAGGAAAAGAAAUCAACCGAGAUUCCCCCAGUAGCGGCGAGCGAACGGGGAGCAGCCCAGAGCCUGAAUCAGUGUGUGUGUUAGUGGAAGCGUCUGGAAAGGCGCGCGAUACAGGGUGACAGCCCCGUACACAAAAAUGCACAUACUGUGAGCUCGAUGAGUAGGGCGGGACACGUGGUAUCCUGUCUGAAUAUGGGGGGACCAUCCUCCAAGGCUAAAUACUCCUGACUGACCGAUAGUGAACCAGUACCGUGAGGGAAAGGCGAAAAGAACCCCGGCGAGGGGAGUGAAAAAGAACCUGAAACCGUGUACGUACAAGCAGUGGGAGCACGCUUAGGCGUGUGACUGCGUACCUUUUGUAUAAUGGGUCAGCGACUUAUAUUCUGUAGCAAGGUUAACCGAAUAGGGGAGCCGAAGGGAAACCGAGUCUUAACUGGGCGUUAAGUUGCAGGGUAUAGACCCGAAACCCGGUGAUCUAGCCAUGGGCAGGUUGAAGGUUGGGUAACACUAACUGGAGGACCGAACCGACUAAUGUUGAAAAAUUAGCGGAUGACUUGUGGCUGGGGGUGAAAGGCCAAUCAAACCGGGAGAUAGCUGGUUCUCCCCGAAAGCUAUUUAGGUAGCGCCUCGUGAAUUCAUCUCCGGGGGUAGAGCACUGUUUCGGCAAGGGGGUCAUCCCGACUUACCAACCCGAUGCAAACUGCGAAUACCGGAGAAUGUUAUCACGGGAGACACACGGCGGGUGCUAACGUCCGUCGUGAAGAGGGAAACAACCCAGACCGCCAGCUAAGGUCCCAAAGUCAUGGUUAAGUGGGAAACGAUGUGGGAAGGCCCAGACAGCCAGGAUGUUGGCUUAGAAGCAGCCAUCAUUUAAAGAAAGCGUAAUAGCUCACUGGUCGAGUCGGCCUGCGCGGAAGAUGUAACGGGGCUAAACCAUGCACCGAAGCUGCGGCAGCGACGCUGAUGCGUUGUUGGGUAGGGGAGCGUUCUGUAAGCCUGCGAAGGUGUGCUGUGAGGCAUGCUGGAGGUAUCAGAAGUGCGAAUGCUGACAUAAGUAACGAUAAAGCGGGUGAAAAGCCCGCUCGCCGGAAGACCAAGGGUUCCUGUCCAACGUUAAUCGGGGCAGGGUGAGUCGACCCCUAAGGCGAGGCCGAAAGGCGUAGUCGAUGGGAAACAGGUUAAUAUUCCUGUACUUGGUGUUACUGCGAAGGGGGGACGGAGAAGGCUAUGUUGGCCGGGCGACGGUUGUCCCGGUUUAAGCGUGUAGGCUGGUUUUCCAGGCAAAUCCGGAAAAUCAAGGCUGAGGCGUGAUGACGAGGCACUACGGUGCUGAAGCAACAAAUGCCCUGCUUCCAGGAAAAGCCUCUAAGCAUCAGGUAACAUCAAAUCGUACCCCAAACCGACACAGGUGGUCAGGUAGAGAAUACCAAGGCGCUUGAGAGAACUCGGGUGAAGGAACUAGGCAAAAUGGUGCCGUAACUUCGGGAGAAGGCACGCUGAUAUGUAGGUGAAGUCCCUCGCGGAUGGAGCUGAAAUCAGUCGAAGAUACCAGCUGGCUGCAACUGUUUAUUAAAAACACAGCACUGUGCAAACACGAAAGUGGACGUAUACGGUGUGACGCCUGCCCGGUGCCGGAAGGUUAAUUGAUGGGGUCAGCGCAAGCGAAGCUCUUGAUCGAAGCCCCGGUAAACGGCGGCCGUAACUAUAACGGUCCUAAGGUAGCGAAAUUCCUUGUCGGGUAAGUUCCGACCUGCACGAAUGGCGUAAUGAUGGCCAGGCUGUCUCCACCCGAGACUCAGUGAAAUUGAACUCGCUGUGAAGAUGCAGUGUACCCGCGGCAAGACGGAAAGACCCCGUGAACCUUUACUAUAGCUUGACACUGAACAUUGAGCCUUGAUGUGUAGGAUAGGUGGGAGGCUUUGAAGUGUGGACGCCAGUCUGCAUGGAGCCGACCUUGAAAUACCACCCUUUAAUGUUUGAUGUUCUAACGUUGACCCGUAAUCCGGGUUGCGGACAGUGUCUGGUGGGUAGUUUGACUGGGGCGGUCUCCUCCUAAAGAGUAACGGAGGAGCACGAAGGUUGGCUAAUCCUGGUCGGACAUCAGGAGGUUAGUGCAAUGGCAUAAGCCAGCUUGACUGCGAGCGUGACGGCGCGAGCAGGUGCGAAAGCAGGUCAUAGUGAUCCGGUGGUUCUGAAUGGAAGGGCCAUCGCUCAACGGAUAAAAGGUACUCCGGGGAUAACAGGCUGAUACCGCCCAAGAGUUCAUAUCGACGGCGGUGUUUGGCACCUCGAUGUCGGCUCAUCACAUCCUGGGGCUGAAGUAGGUCCCAAGGGUAUGGCUGUUCGCCAUUUAAAGUGGUACGCGAGCUGGGUUUAGAACGUCGUGAGACAGUUCGGUCCCUAUCUGCCGUGGGCGCUGGAGAACUGAGGGGGGCUGCUCCUAGUACGAGAGGACCGGAGUGGACGCAUCACUGGUGUUCGGGUUGUCAUGCCAAUGGCACUGCCCGGUAGCUAAAUGCGGAAGAGAUAAGUGCUGAAAGCAUCUAAGCACGAAACUUGCCCCGAGAUGAGUUCUCCCUGACUCCUUGAGAGUCCUGAAGGAACGUUGAAGACGACGACGUUGAUAGGCCGGGUGUGUAAGCGCAGCGAUGCGUUGAGCUAACCGGUACUAAUGAACCGUGAGGCUUAACCUUACAACGCCGAAG
rnacentral:rRNA from 1 species